CCAGAUCACAGCUUACUGCUUUAUAUAGAUGCUUUACUUGAUCAGGGGAAAAAACCCAUGGAAAUAUUGUGCAAAGCAUGGAAAUGGGCUAGAGAUCAAGGGCAUUUUGAUGUGCACGAUAGAAGAUACUAUCUGACACCAGUUGACAUUAAGAAUAUAUGUCAACGUUACAAAAUGGAUAAAAGAAUUCACCAGAAUGAUGCUGUAGCUGUACACGAGCUAUGCACACAAAUACUGAAGGAAGAGAUAAUUUUCUACCAAGAAUUGAAAGAGUAAUUAUUCUUAUAUAAUAAUGUACUUUUGUAAAUUUUAAUAACUGAUAUAAGCAUAAUGCUGAUAAAGAGUAAUUCUGAAAUUACUGAUUGAUACCCUGUUUUGUUCUUCAGACAUGACUGGAUUGCCUUAUGUUCAAAUAGUUUUUAUAGUACUCGUCUGUCCAAUUUCGUAUAUGAUUUUGUCUGUAAAAUGUUUCAAUGAGAGCUGUACAGAUGAGUUUUCUGUAGACUGAACGUAUAUCUGACUUCUCAUAAUAGAUGAUUUGUAUUUUUGGUUUUUAUCCUUUUGAGUGUUUUUAGUGCUACACUUGUUCACAAGUCAUAUAUUUUGUCAAUAUAUUUUACAUUUUUGUCUUUUUCAGUUUUAAUAGAGGUUAUUUAAUAUGAGUACAAUGUAGCUAGUUUGUC